GACGAACGCUGGCGGCGUGCUUAACACGUGCAAGUCGAACGAUGAACCUCGAAAUGAUUUCUUCGGAAAGAUUUUUGAGAGGAUUAGUGGCGAACGGGUGAGUAACGCGUGAGCAACCUGCCUUAGACAAGGGGAUAGCCUCGGGAAACCGUGAUUAAUACCCUAUGAGACUCCACUUACGAGUGUAAGAGAAGUUAAAGCUAUUGCGGUCUAAGAUGGGCUCGCGUCUGAUUAGCUAGUUGGUGAGAUAAAAGCCCACCAAGGCGACGAUCAGUAACCGGCUUGAGAGAGUGAACGGUCACAUUGGAACUGAGACACGGUCCAAACUCCUACGGGAGGCAGCAGUGGGGAAUAUUGCACAAUGGGGGCAACCCUGAUGCAGCGACGCCGCGUGAGCGAUGAAGGAAUUCGUUUCGUAAAGCUCUGUCCUUGGAGAAGAUAAUGACGGUAACCAAGGAGGAAGCACCGGCUAAAUACGUG
rnacentral:rRNA from 1 species